UACGAAGGGGGCUAGCGUUGCUCGGAAUUACUGGGCGUAAAGGGAGCGUAGGCGGAUAGUUUAGUCAGAGGUGAAAGCCCCAGGGCUCAACCCUGGAAUUGCCUUUGAUACUGGCUAUCUUGAGUGUGGGAGAGGUUAGCGGAACUCCGAGUGUAGAGGUGAAAUUCGUAGAUAUUCGGAAGAACACCAGUGGCGAAGGCGGCUAACUGGCCCAUUACUGACGCUGAGGCGCGAAAAGUAAAGGGGGAUCCAAACAGGGA
rnacentral:rRNA from 1 species